AUGCUGCUGCGACACUCAGCGCUGCGCAUCGCGGGCAGAAAACGCCGCGGACCGACUUCCGGUUCGCUCAGCACUACCGGGUUCCGCCCCGCCCGCUGCGAUCCGGUUCCGCUCUCCCCAACCCGCUCGGCGACGGGGCUUCCGGUCGGGCGGGUCCGCCCGCUCUCGCGCCCUUUGCCGGGUCCGGACACCGGUUCCGUUGCAAACAUUUUUAAAGGGCUGGUUAUUCUUCGUGAAAUGAGUUUGGUGAUUAGAAAUCUGCAGCGAGUCAUCCCCAUCAGGAGAGCACCACUUCGCAGUAAGAUCGAGAUUGUAAGGAGGAUUUUAGGAGUGCAGAAAUUUGACCUGGGGAUCAUCUGUGUUGACAACAAGAAUAUUCAGCACAUUAAUAGAAUCUACAGAGAUAGAAAUGUCCCAACCGAUGUGCUUUCUUUUCCAUUUCAUGAGGUGACGGCCACCCACGGACUCUGUCACUUGCUGGGCUUCACACACAGCACAGAGGCAGAGUGGCAGCAGGAACUGGACGUCAGACCUGCCCUUGUAAAAAUGACACAGAUGUUUGCUUUCAACACCGGGCUCCCCAAAUACUUCCAGCUGAAUGUGUUCACUAAGGAAAGCGGUCUGAGUGCAGAGGCCGAGAGCCACAGCUGAGGCUAGCAAGUGGCGUUUGGUCAAAAAGGUCCCAUCAGCUAGAGACUAGGCCAGACCCAGGGCGGAGGCAGGAGCUCUGCAUGAAGUGAGUUCCAGAUGUUCCAGAAGGAGAAGGCGGUGCUGGACGAGCUGGGCCGACGCACGGGGACCCGGCUGCAGCCCCUGACCCGGGGCCUCUUCGGAGGGAGCUGAGGGCCGCGUUCCUUCUGAAAGCGGGACGGGGGAGGGGUGGAGGCUGCGGGGAGCCGGGGUCGCACACAAAUAAAUAACGAAUGAAUGUA